rnacentral:rRNA from 1 species
GACGAACGCUGGCGGCGUGCCUAACACAUGCAAGUCGAACGGAGCAGAGACUUCGGUUUUUGCUUAGUGGCGAACGGGUGAGUAACGCGUGAGAAACCUGCCUUUCAGUGGGGGACAACAGUUGGAAACGACUGCUAAUACCGCAUAAUGUAUCGAGAGGGCAUCCUUUUGAUACCAAAGCUUUAUUGCUGAACGAUGGUCUCGCGUCUGAUUAGCUAGUUGGUGAGGUAACGGCUCACCAAGGCGACGAUCAGUAGCCGGUCUGAGAGGAUGAACGGCCACAUUGUGACUGGGAUACGGACCAGACUCCUACGGGAGGCAGCAGUGGGGAAUAUUGGGCAAUGGGGGAAACCCUGACCCAGCAACGCCGCGUGAAGGAAGAAGGCCUUCGGGUUGUAAACUUCUUUUACCAGGGACGAAGAACGUGACGGUACCUGGAGAAAAAGCAACGGCUAACUACGUGCCAGCCGCCGCGGUAACAC